UUUGAUCCUGGCUCAGAUUGAACGCUGGCGGCGUGCUUAACACAUGCAAGUCGAGCGGUAGCAGGCGUAGCAAUACGUGCUGACGAGCGGCGAACGGGUGAGUAAUGCUUCGGAAUCUUCCUAGUAGUGGGGAAUAACCUGGGGAAACUCAGGCUAAUACCGCAUACGAACUACGGUUGAAAGCAGGGGAUCGCAAGACCUUGCGCUAUUAGAUGAGCCGAAGUCGGAUUAGCUAGUUGGUGGGGUAAAGGCCUACCAAGGCGACGAUCCGUAGCUGGUCUGAGAGGACGACCAGCCACACUGGGACUGAGACACGGCCCAGACUCCUACGGGAGGCAGCAGUGGGGAAUAUUGGACAAUGGGGGAAACCCUGAUCCAGCGACGCCGCGUGUGUGAAGAAGGCCUGCGGGUUGUAAAGCACUUUUAGUGGGGACAAAAAGCUACGGGCUAAUACCCUGUGGUCUUGAUUUAACCCAAAGAAAAAGCACCGGCUAACUCUGUGCCAGCAGCCGCGGUAAUACAGAGGGUGCAAGCGUUAAUCGGAAUUACUGGGCGUAAAGCGUGCGUAGUCGGUUAUCUAAGUCAGGUGUGAAAUCCCCGGGCUCAACCUGGGAAUUGCAUUUGAUACUGGAUAGCUA
rnacentral:rRNA from 1 species